GCCGCGGUAAUACGGAGGAGGCAAGCGUUAUCCGGAAUUAUUGGGCGUAAAGCGUCCGCAGGGGGCACAUCAAGUCUGCUGUUAAAGGCUGGAGCUUAACUCCGGUAGAGCAGUGGAAACUGGUGUGCUAGAGGGCGACAGGGGUAGAGGGAAUUCCCAGUGUAGCGGUGAAAUGCGUAGAGAUUGGGAAGAACACCGGUGGCGAAAGCGCUCUACUGGGUCGCACCUGACCCUCAGGGACGAAAGCUAAGGUAGCGAAAGGGAUUAGAUACCCCUGUAGUCUUAGCCGUAAACGAUGGAUACUAGGCGUGGUUUGUAUCGACCCAAGCCGUGCCGAAGCUAACGCGUUAAGUAUCCCGCCUGGGGAGUACGCACGCAAGUGUGAAACUCAAAGGAAUUGACGGGGGCCCGCACAAGCGGUGGAGGAUGUGGUUUAAUUCGAUGCAACGCGAAGAACCUUACCAGGGCUUGACAUCCCGCGAAUCCCCAGGAAAGUGGGGAGUGCCUUCGGGAGCGCGGAGACAGGUGGUGCAUGGCUGUCGUCAGCUCGUGUCGUGAGAUGUUGGGUUAAGUCCCGCAACGAGCGCAACCCUCGUCCUUAGUUGCCAGCAUUAAGUUGGGCACUCUAGGGAGACUGCCGGUGACAAACCGGAGGAAGGUGAGGAUGACGUCAAGUCAGCAUGCCCCUUAUGCUCUGGGCAACACACGUCCUACAAUGGUCGGGACAAAGGGGAGCGAGCUCGCGAGAGUCAGCGAAUCCCAGCAAACUCGGCCUCAGUUCAGAUGGCAGGCUGCAACUCGCCUGCCUGAAGGAGGAAUCGCUAGUAAUCGCUGGUCAGCAUACAGCGGUGAUUCGUUCCCGGGCCUUGUACACACCGCCCGUCACACCAUGGAAGCUGGCCAAGCCCGAAGUCGUUACCCUAACCGUUCGCGGAGGGGGCGCCGAAGGCUGGGCUG
rnacentral:rRNA from 1 species